rnacentral:rRNA from 1 species
UCUCACCGACUUACCAAACCUAACCAAACUCCGAAUACCGAUGAGUAAUAUCUGGCAGACACACUACGGGUGCUAAGGUCCGUAGUGGAAAGGGAAACAGCCCUGACCGCCAGCUAAGGUCCCUAAGUUAUGGCUAAGUGGGAAAGGAUGUGAGAGUGCAUAGACAACCAGGAUGUUGGCUUAGAAGCAGCCAUCAUUUAAAGAAAGCGUAACAGCUCACUGGUCAAGCGCUCUUGCGCCGAAAAUGUACCGGGGCUAAAGCCAUACACCGAAGCUGCGGAUGCACAUUUAUGUGCGUGGUAGCGGAGCGUUCUGUAAGCCUGUGAAGGGUGACCCGCGAGGGCACUUGGAGGUAUCAGAAGUGAGAAUGCUGACAUGAGUAGCGAUAAAGAGGGUGAGAGACCCUCUCGCCGAAAGACCAAGGGUUCCUGCGUAAAGCUAAUCUGCGCAGGGUUAGUCGGCCCCUAAGGCGAGGGCGAAAGCCGUAGUCGAUGGGAAACAGGUUAAUAUUCCUGUACCUGGAGGUAGUGACGAAUCCCGUGUGUUGUUUACCCUUAUUGGAUUGGGUAGGCCGCGAAGGGGUUCCAGGAAAUAGCUCCUCCAUUAUAGACCGUACCCCAAACCGACACAGGUGGUCUGGUAGAGUAUACCAAGGCGCUUGAGAGAACUAUGUUGAAGGAACUCGGCAAAAUGCUCCCGUAAGUUCGCGAGAAGGGAGACCUCCACUUAGGCAACUAGGUGGGGGUGGCACAGACCAGGGGGUGGCGACUGUUUACUAAAAACACAGGGCUCUGCGAAGUCGCAAGACGACGUAUAGGGUCUGACGCCUGCCCGGUGCUGGAAGGUUAAAUGGAGUGGUGCAAGCUGCGAAAUGAAGCCCCAGUAAACGGCGGCCGUAACUAUAACGGUCCUAAGGUAGCGAAAUUCCUUGUCGGGUAAGUUCCGACCUGCACGAAUGGCGUAACGACUUCCCCGCUGUCUCCAACAUAGACUCAGCGAAAUUGAAUUCCCCGUGAAGAUGCGGGGUUCCUGCGGCUAGACGGAAAGACCCCGUGCACCUUUACUACAGCUUCACAGUGGUGUUAGUGACGGCAUGUGUAGGAUAGGUGGUAGGCUUUGAAACUUGGGCGCCAGCUCAGGUGGAGCCACCCUUGAAAUACCACCCUUAUCUUCAUUGACAUCUAACCGCGGCCCGUUAUCCGGGUCCGGGACCCUGUGUGGUGGGUAGUUUGACUGGGGCGGUCGCCUCCCAAAGAGUAACGGAGGCG